GACUGGCAUGCACCUGUGACUUACAUAAACCAGACCUCUACAUAGCCUACAUGUCUUCAUUUUGCUGAAGACUGCCCAUCAUCCUAGCCUGUUAUCUGUGAUAAAGCACACUGAAGUUAGGUUUGGAAUGCAUCCUUAUCAUGAAUGCUCUACACCUCCACCUCCAUCUCCCACAACCUAGGUAACAGCUUUGAGACUCACUAAAAGUUGAACCCCCUGAAUGAUGUAGGCUAUGGGGCCACAUAAGACUUUGUCCAUCCAGGGUUACAUUGAACAACAACUUUAAACUAAAAAACCAACAUUUUUCACACAACUCCAGGUUGUUACUACAAGUGUCAUCAAGGGAUAACUACAAGUAGAAGCACCAUUUUUGGAUGGAAAAAACCCUUCAGGAAAGUAUACGUAUCACAUGU